AACGAACGCUGGCGGCAGGCUUAACACAUGCAAGUCGAGCGCCCCGCAAGGGGAGCGGCAGACGGGUGAGUAACGCGUGGGAAUCUACCCAUCUCUACGGAAUAACGCAUGGAAACGUGUGCUAAUACCGUAUACGUCCUUCGGGAGAAAGAUUUAUCGGAGAUGGAUGAGCCCGCGUUGGAUUAGCGAGUUGGUGGGGUAAAGGCCUACCAAGGCGACGAUCCAUAGCUGGUCUGAGAGGAUGAUCAGCCACACUGGGACUGAGACACGGCCCAGACUCCGACGGGAGGCAGCAGUGGGGAAUAUUGGAGAAUGGGCGCAAGCCUGAUCCAGCCAUGCCGCGUGAGUGAUGAAGGCCCUAGGGUUGUAAAGCUCUUUCACCGGUGAAGAUAAUGACGGUAACCGGAGAAGAAGCCCCGGCUAACUUCGUGCCAGCCGCCGCUGUAACAC
rnacentral:rRNA from 1 species